AUGGUCAAAGGAGAUGGUAAGAAACUGAGAGGCAAAAUGUCCUCAUAUGCAUUCUUUGUGCAAACCUGCCGGGAGGAACACAAGAAGUACCCAGAUGCAUCUGUCAGCUUCUCACGGUCCUCCAAGAAGUGCUCAGAGAGGUGGAAGACCACGUCUGCUAAAGAAAAGGGGAUAUUUGAAGAUAUGGUAAAGGCUGACAAGGCUUGUUAUGAAAGAGAAAUGAAAACCUACAUCCCCCCAGAGAGGAGACCAAAAAGAAGUUCAAGGACCCCAAUGCAACCAAGAGGCCUCCUUUGGCCUUCUUGUUCUGUUCUGAGUACCGCCCCAAAAUCAUAGGCGAGCAUCCUGGCUUAUAUCCAUUGGUGAUGUUGCGAAGAAACUAGGAGAGAUGUGGAACAACACUGCAGUGGAUGACAAGCAGCCCUAUGAGAAGAAGGCUGCCAAGCUGAAGGAGAAGAGAAGGAUAUUGCUGCCUACAAAGCUAAAGGAAAACCUGAUGAAGCGAAAAAGGGGGUGUGGUCAAGUCUGAAAAGAGCAAGAAAAAGAAGGAAGAGGAAGAUGAUGAGGAGGAUGAAGAGGAUGAGCAAGAAGAGGAAGAUGACGACUAG
rnacentral:lncRNA from 1 species